rnacentral:rRNA from 1 species
CGGCGGGCCUAACACAUGCAAGUCGAACGGAUCGUAGCAAUACGGUCAGUGGCGCACGGGUGAGUAACGCGUAGAUAAUCUACCUUCCAGCGGGGGAUAACGUUCCGAAAGGAACGCUAAUACCGCAUAAGACCACGGAGCCUUUGGGCUUUGGGGGAAAAGGUGGCCUCUCCUUGGAAGCUAUCACUGGAAGAUGAGUCUGCGUCCCAUCAGCUAGUUGGUGAGGUAAUGGCUCACCAAGGCUAAGACGGGUAGCUGGUCUGAGAGGAUGAUCAGCCACACUGGUACUGGAACACGGACCAGACUCCUACGGGAGGCAGCAGUGGGGAAUAUUGGGCAAUGGGCGGAAGCCUGACCCAGCCACGCCGCGUGAGUGAUGAAGGCCUUCGGGUUGUAAAGCUCUGUGGGAAGGGGCGAAAAACUGCGAAGAGAAUAUCUAGCAGGUUGACGGUACCUUCUUAGCAAGCACCGGCUAACUCUGUGCCAGCAGCCGCGGUAAGACAGAGGGUGCAAACGUUGCUCGGAUUUACUGGGCGUAAAGCGCGUGUAGGCGGGCGACUAAGUCGGAUGUGAAAUCCCUGGGCUCAACCUAGGAACUGCAUUCGAAACUGGUCACCUAGAGUGAUGGAGAGGAAAGCGGAAUUCCCGGUGUAGAGGUGAAAUUCGUAGAUAUCGGGGAGGAACACCAGUGGCGAAGGCGGCUUUCUGGACAUUUACUGACGCUGAGACGCGAAAGCGUGGGGAGCAAACAGGAUUAGAUACCCUGGUAGUCCACGCUGUAAACGAUGAGUGCUGGGUG